rnacentral:rRNA from 1 species
CUAGCUAACUGAAAUCACAAAAUCAUAAAAUGUGCUUAUUGUGAUAACGUAAGGGAAAAAAAUGAUAAUACCUUACUAAAAGUGUUGUCUAAAUAACUGGUGCCAGAAGACUCGGUAACACCAGAAACGCGAACGUUAGUCGUCUUAAACAGGCGUAAAGGGUAAGUAGGCUGUUUUAAAUUCUAUUUUUAAAAUAAGCAAAUUAGUAAUAAUCCUCCCUCCCCUCCCUCGCGCAAGCGAUAGCUGUGCGCUUUGGAGGGGGACAAAAAUAUUUCAGACCUAAUAUAUAAAUUAAGGCUAACUUAAAUUGAAAAUAGGGAGUUAUUACCCCUCUCUCCCUUAGGAUUAGCAGGAGCAAAUUUCACCCCCCCCCUCUCCCCGCUUACGCGGGAGAGCGCGAGGGUGGAGUAAAAGCUCUUCUCCUUUUCUAUUCUUUUAACUAAAAAGCAAAGGGGGUUGCUACGCAAGAGAGAGGGAAGAAAAAAUAGAUAUACUUAAAGCUAGAAUCAUAUUGAGAUAAACCAAAUAUACUUAUGUGUAAGGGCGAAAUCUGAAAAUACUAAGUAGAAUACUAACGGUGAAAACUUUUUAUCUGGUAAUGAUUGACGCUGAGGUACGAAAGUGAGCACAGGGAAUAGGAUUAGAUACCCAGUUACAUCUCACCGUCAACGAUGAAUGGUAGUUGUUAGUUUAAAUUAAAUUAGUGACGUUGUUAACGCGAUAACCAUUCCGCAUUGAGAGUACGGUUGCAAAACUGAAACCAAAAAAAUUAGUCGGUCUCGGAGCAAA